GCGAGAACACCCUAUAAAUCUUUAUAUUUAGAUUAUUAUAAUUUUAUAGAUUUUUUUUGUUAUAAUAAUCAAUGAUAUUUUAUUGGGGUGAUAUUAAAAUUUAAUAAACUUUUAAUUGUUAAAAUCAUUAAUUUAUGAAUAAUUGAUCCGUUAUUAGCGAUUAAAAAAAUAAGUUACUUUAGGGAUAACAGCGUAAUUUUUUUGGAGAGUUCAUAUCGAAAAAAAGAUUGCGACCUCGAUGUUGGAUUAA
rnacentral:rRNA from 1 species